AAAUAUCAACAGGCCAUGAAGGACUUAUACACACAUCUAACCCCUAUACAACGUGUGAACAUUGCCCGACACCCUAACAGACCUACAUUCCUUUAUCAUGUAUUUAGCAUUACUGAUAAGUUUGUGGAACUUCAUGGAGAUCGAUUGGGGU